CUCUCUUUCCUCUCCUGAGGGACAGUGACAGGCGGAGCAUCUGCCACUUGCGGAUGGGCCUGCGGCGCAUUAGCUAGUUGGCGGGGUAACGGCCCACCAAGGCGACGAUGCGUAGCCGACCUGAGAGGGUGAACGGCCACACUGGGACUGAGACACGGCCCAGACUCCUACGGGAGGCAGCAGUAGGGAAUCUUCCGCAAUGGGCGCAAGCCUGACGGAGCAACGCCGCGUGAGUGAUGAAGGUUUUCGGAUCGUAAAGCUCUGUUGCCAGGGAAGACGUCCGGUAGAGUACUUGCUAUCGAGUGACGGUACCUGAAAGAAAGCCCGGCUUACUACUUGCCACAGCGCGUAAUACGUAGCCACCUUGUCCCGAAUUUUGGGCGUAAGCGCGCGGCGCAUU
rnacentral:rRNA from 1 species